GACAGAGGGUGCAAACGUUGCUCGGAAUUACUGGGCGUAAAGCGCGUGUAGGCGGUCGGGCAAGUCGGAUGUGAAAGCCCAGGGCUCAACCCUGGAAGUGCACUCGAUACUGCUCGGCUAGAGUCCCGGAGAGGAUGGUGGAACUCUCGGUGUAGAGGUGAAAUUCGUAGAUAUCGAGAAGAACACCGGUGGCGAAGGCGGCCAUCUGGACGGUGACUGACGCUGAGACGCGAAAGCGUGGGGAGCAAACAGG
rnacentral:rRNA from 1 species